CUGUGGUAAUAAUGUCGAAGUGCGCGUGACCCAAACGGUCUAAGAAAUGGUGGACAAUUCUAUUUUACACUAUUUAGCACAACGACAUUACAAUAUUAUUACCAAAACCGUAUACCUGUACGUCAAUAACUAUAUUUUGGAUCAUGUUUUUUGUUUUACGCUCCUCCACAGAUCUGUUACUGUAUUUGUUGAUUAUACAUAAUAUACAUAACAAUGUGUUAUUCGAUUUUUUUUUUCCGUCUUUAAUUGACUACCGACUACCGUACCUAAGAUAUAGUCUCGGACGACGAUAAUACUACACGCAUAUAUGUUUAUAUGUUUAAUAGGUAGAAGACCUAUGAUAUUAUAAUACACUCGAAUAAAAUUAAUUGUAACAAGAUGAAAAAAUAUUAACACAUACUACGAAUAACCUCUCCCAUAUCUAAAUGAAAAUAUUUUAUAGCAUUUUCGACGGGUUGGUACUCUCUAAUUCUCAAACAAUUAAACCAAGAUUUACCGCGGGAGUAUUCAAAUCUAAUCAAGGUAAGUUCAAAAAAAAAAAAAAUUACUGUUCAUGUUUUAUUUUAUACUUAUACAAUUUUUUAGAAUAAUUAAUCGAAUUAAUAUUCGAUUCACAGAUUAAACAAUACAGCAAAUAAUAAUAUAGUAGGCAAUAGAAUAGCCAAUAAGUAUCGCAAAUUAUCAUUUUCUUACCAAAACCUCGCGGUAUCUACAAAACUCAAAUACGAUUUACUUAACGAUCACUACCGUCAUAUUAUGUUCUUGAAAUAUGGUGGUAGGUAACACGUGAAUAGUGGAAGAAAACUAAGAUUUUGGUACGGCGAAAUGAUUCUCGUGAUAAUCUCUUACCAAUAUAUUGUACUUUGCUACUGCAAAAUAUGCAUCUCGGGAGACUACAGGCGUUUGUUCUGAUGGUUUUUUACGAUAUUACAUAUACCAAACAUACCGUAGGUAUAGGUAGGUAGAAAUAAGAAAUAAAAUGCCAAAAAUAAAAUAAUCUAUCAAUAAAUAAAAAACCAUUUUGUGUUAGUGAAACUAUACAAAUUUUCUCACGAUAUUAUUAUAACCAAACGUACCUACUUUUAUUUUCAGGAAAUGAUGGAUAAGCCACGGAUAAACGCCAUACGAAAAAAGAAGCCUAUUGCCCUGCCGUCCUAUGCGUAUAGCUAUGAGUAUUUGUGAAAUAGCGCUUUAUACUUUAUUUCUCGUUAAAUUAUUGUUGUUUAGUUGAUUACUUUGAUACGUUUUUUUACAAUUUUUUUUAUACUACAG